GUCAUACACCAGAACCAACACCAUCAGCAGCAGCAGCUACUCAGAACAUCAUCAUCAUGAAGGUCCUUGUCUUGCUCGUUCUUGUUGGAUUCGCCGCCUACCAGGUGACAGAGGCCCGUAUGAACGCCUUCUCCUGCUCCAGUGACUGCUUCAGUUACCUUGAAGGACCCUACUGCAUCUCCAACGGCUCCGUCGUGUGUGACAACUGCGUCAGGGACCAGAUGCUUUGCCAGGAUACCUCUUUGUCCUCAAGCGACUGCAAAGAAGCAUGCGAUUAGAUGGAAAGACUGAAAGUGACUUGCAGGCCCCCGAAGGAAAAGUAAAGAAUAGCUCAUUCACCUGAAUAAAUAAUAUGCAUUUA